GGUGGUAUAGUAUAGUGGAAAGUACGACACGUUGUGGAUAUACAGAAAUUAUUAUACUAGUACCGUGUAGACCUGGGUUCGAUUCCCAGUACCGCCA